UACAGAGGGGGCAAGCGUUGUUCGGAAUUACUGGGCGUAAAGGGCGCGUAGGCGGCCUUCUAAGUCGAACGUGAAAUCCCCGGGCUCAACCCGGGAACUGCGUCCGAUACUGGAAGGCUUGAAUCCGGGAGAGGGAUGCGGAAUUCCAGGUGUAGCGGUGAAAUGCGUAGAUAUCUGGAGGAACACCGAUGGCGAAGGCAAUCCCCUGGGCCUGCACUGACGCUCAUGCACGAAGCGUGGGAGCAACAGG
rnacentral:rRNA from 1 species